ACACGCACGCACACGGGCACACGCACGCACAUGUGUGCAUCCGCAUGCACACCUGCACGCACACGCACAUGCAUGCACACCCGUGCGCACGGGCACACGUCCCGUGCUCUUAGUUGCUGCCAGUGCGGACGAGAGAGGGGGCACUGGGCACAGGAGCGGCUCCCUGUCGGCGCGGCCUGGGGCGAGCCGUUUGCCGGGAUCACCGCUCAUUCCCGCUGGAAAGGCCUCUGAGUUGGGCCCUGAGGUCAAAGGCCGGAUCGCACUGCAGGGCUGAGUUUGGAGAGCGGUGAUCAGUCGCAGUUAAGGGGACACGCCCUGCCGCAUCCUCUGCACCCGAGCGUCAAGCUGGACAGCGGCUGCACCGUGUCAAGCUGGAAGGCGUAUCGAGUUGUGCUGCCCCAGAUGUUCUCCAGCCCUGCUGUCCUCGGAAGGCUCUGAUUCCAGGAGGAGGAAACAGGGGACAAGCCUGUUCCUCUGCCGUGUGAGGCGGUCUGUGACAAAGAGCAUUCCUGAGGGCUCUACCGUCUUGCAGUCAGAACAGUGAACUCGUGACUCCUUCUGUUCCCGUCUCCCGGGGCAGCGCUCCCCACGCCAGCCAGGGCGCUGCACCUAUCCAUGGCUUUUUGAGGCUCCGGCUACCGCACAGGGGCGUUGUGAAGAUUGAGGUCUAUUUGGUAAUUGAAGUUUGUGAUAUGAUUUGAGUUCCUUCAGGAUGACUUCAUGUAAAUGUCUUACAGUGAUUGCAACAAUAUGGAGGAAGGCAAAUGGUAAGGAAAUAAAACAAAAUAACAAUGAAAUAAAAUAAAAAUAAAGAUGAAAUAAAAUAAAAUAAAAUAAAUAAAAUAAAAUAAAAGGAGGCAAAGAAAGCCAUUUUCUCUGUGAACCUAACAAACAGAACAAAACAAAGCCCCUAAAUCAGAAGAACUGUUGCAGGUGAAUCUGAAAAAUGCUGAGUAUCACAUGUGCUCCUUCAAACCCAGGACGAAGCACAAGUCUGAUUUUAUUCAAGGGUUAAAAGGGCAAGAGUGAAGAAUGUAUAUAAUAUCUGCCUUCUUUUGACUAUGUCUCGCAGGAGAAAAAUGUAUUCUGAAAUGACUGACAACUUGGGGGAAAAUUAGAGCGCUCGUAUUCUAAGUACCUUGUUCAGAGCAUACCAUGAAAAGUAUGAAUUUAUAAAAUAAAAAAUGAGGGGCCCCUGGGUGGCUCCGUCGGUCAAGGUUCCGACGUCAGCUCAGGUCAUGAUCUUGCGGUUUGUGGGUCCCAGC